ACACGGUGGAUGCCCUGGCAGUCAGAGGCGAUGAAGGACGUGCUAAUCUGCGAUAAGCGUCGGUAAGGUGAUAUGAACCGUUAUAACCGGCGAUUUCCGAAUGGGGAAACCCAGUGUGUUUCGACACACUAUCAUUAACUGAAUCCAUAGGUUAAUGAGGCGAACCGGGGGAACUGAAACAUCUAAGUACCCCGAGGAAAAGAAAUCAACCGAGAUUCCCCCAGUAGCGGCGAGCGAACGGGGAGCAGCCCAGAGCCUGAAUCAGUGUGUGUGUUAGUGGAAGCGUCUGGAAAGGCGCGCGAUACAGGGUGACAGCCCCGUACACAAAAAUGCACAUGCUGUGAGCUCGAUGAGUAGGGCGGGACACGUGGUAUCCUGUCUGAAUAUGGGGGGACCAUCCUCCAAGGCUAAAUACUCCUGACUGACCGAUAGUGAACCAGUACCGUGAGGGAAAGGCGAAAAGAACCCCGGCGAGGGGAGUGAAAAAGAACCUGAAACCGUGUACGUACAAGCAGUGGGAGCACGCUUAGGCGUGUGACUGCGUACCUUUUGUAUAAUGGGUCAGCGACUUAUAUUCUGUAGCAAGGUUAACCGAAUAGGGGAGCCGAAGGGAAACCGAGUCUUAACUGGGCGUUAAGUUGCAGGGUAUAGACCCGAAACCCGGUGAUCUAGCCAUGGGCAGGUUGAAGGUUGGGUAACACUAACUGGAGGACCGAACCGACUAAUCUUGAAAAAUUAGCGGAUGACUUGUGGCUGGGGGUGAAAGGCCAAUCAAACCGGGAGAUAGCUGGUUCUCCCCGAAAGCUAUUUAGGUAGCGCCUCGUGAAUUCAUCUCCGGGGGUAGAGCACUGUUUCGGCAAGGGGGUCAUCCCGACUUACCAACCCGAU
rnacentral:rRNA from 1 species